rnacentral:lncRNA from 1 species
AAUAACAAGCUGGGAUUUUCUGUAAGAGAAUUGUCUUUGUUUUGUAUAUGCUGAAAGGUGUGAGGAGGAGGGCUCCCAUACACCAAGACCACGACAUCUUGCUUUCCUCCUGAGCUGCCCAAUGGAUAACAUUUAGUUUAAUGUAACUCACAACAAACAACCCGUGGCUGGUGCAUGCGUGCGGACUCCCUCCUGUGGUAUGAAGCACAAGUGUGUCCCCGUGAUAUAUAAUACAAAGCUCUGCUAUCAAAACCAGCUCCAGGUUAUAAGAUUCCUGUUGGGCACAACUCUGAUAUCUGCAUCCCUCCAGCAUUUAUGGUCUCCUCUCCACCAGUUUGGUGGCCGCCAUUGUGCCUGACUGAUCACUCAUGCAGGCUCUUCUUUCUUGUGCAUCAGCUUUGAGCUCAGGUCAGUACCCUCCUCUCCCUCCCUUUUUUGUGAAUAUUGCCCUAACGUGCCAUUUCUUUGAGUUAAACCUUUUGUCCACAAUCUGUCCAACCUACACACUAUGCUAGGGCAAUGGUGGCACCGACCUUGUAAGUGUAACCAACUGAUGUCUGAUUUGAUUUAAGGGACCACUCCAGGAGAUGGAGCCCAAACCUGACGCUGCUUGGGUGGCCAGGAACCAGAGACUACAUAGAGAUGCCAGGUAAAAUCAAAUGAUACUAGUCAAAAAAGUAACAAUAAAAUGAGCCCUAAUGAUAUUCUGCAACUUCCACCUACAGCAGAUGGACCAACUACGGAGGGUGAUCCACAGCCAGCUAAUACACAAAGUGAGAGGCCCUGAGACACACAACUCUUAACAAGCUGUCUCCAUCAAAUCCCUCCCUUCAGAACUCAGGGAACCCCUCAGAAGGGGAGACAGACAGUGAGGAUGGAAGACACCAGGAGAACAAGGACCUCUAAAACAUCAGAGCAAAGCUCAUAUGAACUCACAGAGACUGAAGCAGCAAUCAUGGGAUCUACACAGGUCUGCACCAGGUCCUCUGCAUAUAUAUUCAUCAGUUUAGUACUUUAUUCUCUUGGAGCGCUUUUAUUUUUCUGUUAGCUUGUCUUAUCCAACUUUUAUACGAUGUUUUUUUUUUUGUUUUAUCUUACUGUAUUUUAUUUUGUUGAAAUACUUUAAAAAAAUGUGUUUAAGCUACAUUUAGAAUUCAGGAAAAGUAAUCUCACAGCUUACUUGCCCU